CCCUUUGCCUCAUCCUCCCUUGCCAGAUGCUGGCUUUCAGGUGCAAAUGCUUCUUUUACCAGCUUGAGCUAGUACAUGCCAAUAGAGAAGUUUUAGUAAUGGUUUUAGUUGUUUACAAGUAUGCAUCUUCGGAAUGAGUUCUGCUUUUGUUACGUCAUAGUUAGGCUAUUUCUCUUGAGAGAAGUCAUCAAGUCAUGGGGUUUGAAAUUUAAGAAUUUAUAGUCCCAUAAUUGAUCAGAUCUCUUACCUUUUAGGGUAGCAUGUUUUGAAUAUUUAACAAGAAGAAUUAGUUAGUCCGCCGUUUUGCAAUUCAAUUAGUCAAAUCCCUGAGAGAUACUGAACUCAGGUCAGGCACUAAGAAAGUCUCUCUCUCUCUGUCUCUGAUACACACGCACACAAAAUAACUAGAAAGAGUGUGAGUGGUCUCCCUUGAACAGCAUAUGUUCUCUUUCCUAUUUGUUGAACAUAAUGUUGGAUCCAUGCCCCUUCUUUGCCCGUCCUUCUCCAUCAAACAAACACCAGCCCUUCUUGUGAUCUUCUUGAAUAUGUAGC
rnacentral:lncRNA from 1 species